rnacentral:rRNA from 1 species
UACGGAGGGUGCGAGCGUUAAUCGGAAUCACUGGGCGUAAAGCGCACGUAGGUGGCUUGGCCAGUCCGCUGUGAAAGCCCCGGGCUCAACCUGGGAACGGCAGUGGAUACUACCGAGCUAGAGUCUGCGAGAGGGGGGUGGAAUUCCAGGUGUAGCGGUGAAAUGCGUAGAGAUCUGGAGGAACACCAGUGGCGAAGGCGGCCCCCUGGUGCAAGACUGACGCUGAGGUGCGAAAGCGUGGGGAG